rnacentral:lncRNA from 1 species
GAAAAACCUACAUUCUGGGGGUGUUAAAGAAGGAAGCAAUGAGACUGCCAGUAAAAAUCCGGCUGGUCAAGCCUGUAUGAGCCAAAGUGUCCAUGAUGAUUUGGAGCAAAGGAACAGUAGCACGGUUCCUAGGGAGGUGGCUCCUGCCCAGCUGGAUGUAGACACAGAGAAGAGAAAAACGAAAGAAGAGAAGCAAAUUGACCCAGACAGACAGAUGAAACUGGAAGGAACAGGUUUUAGGGGGACAGAUGGUGGUGAUGUAUCUCUGGUAGCUAGGGCUACAGAGAAAACGGCCAAGAUGAAAACACAGCCCUCAGGAGAACAGAUGGAGGGAAACUCUGGCUCGGAAACAACCACCAAAGGCAGAGAAGCAGUGAAUGCAGAUUUUAUUUCUGCCUGUCAUUUCCUUAAUAAUCACAUGGACAACAUGGACAACCCCA